AUCGGCUAGACUUUAUAAACUUGUACUCUAAUUGAUGUUAGUCUGGGGUUUUUGUUUUUAUCUUGUUUUUUUAGGGUGAAAUCGGAAAUUUUUUGUGUUUGUACCCUAGUCUUUAAGAUUUGGUGAAUGAGCCAGAUUAGUACCUGGUUAAACAAAAAUUAAAAGGGCAGGAGUAAAGUUGUAUUUAAACUGUAAGAAUAUUGGCAGGUUUCUAAAUUAUCUUUGGAGGUUGAGUAGUAAUUGAGAGCCCUCAUUAGCAACUUUUACUGUAGGCGCAUGUAUGAUCGUUUAUUUUAUUCUUAAGGAUUGUAAUUUUAGAUACUUGUUUACUGUAAAAAUAGAUAGAUAUCUGGUAUAUGUAGAAGAUUUAAUUUGACCUACAAUUUGUUAUCUUGUGGAUACUUCUUAUAGUAGGAGGUUGAAAAUGUAAAAGACAGUAAGAUUUUUUUUAUGUAAAUCUGAAGUUUAUUUAGGAACGGUACAAAACAUC
rnacentral:rRNA from 1 species